rnacentral:rRNA from 1 species
CACGUAGGGCGCAAGCGUUGUCCGGAAUUACUGGGCGUAAAGGGCGCGUAGGCGGGUCGUUUAGUUAGAGGUGAAAGCCCAGGGCUCAACCCUGGAAUUGCCUUUAAUACUGGCGGCCUUGAGUAUGGCAGAGGUGAGUGGAACUGCGAGUGUAGAGGUGAAAUUCGUAGAUAUUCGCAAGAACACCAGUGGCGAAGGCGACUCACUGGCCCGGUACUGACGCUGAGGUGCGAAAGCGUGGGGAGCAAACAGGG